rnacentral:rRNA from 1 species
AGGGAAUAGAUACCCAGGUAGUCCACGCCGUAAACGAUGGAUGCUAGCUGUUUGAGGUAUCGACCCCUCAAAGUAAGCGAAAGCUAACGCGUUAAGCAUCCCGCCUGUGGAGUACGGUCGCAAGACUAAAACAUAAAGGAAUUGACGGGGACCCGCACAAGCGGUGGAGCGUGUUGUUUAAUUCGAUGGUAAGCGAAGAACCUUACCCAGGCUUGACAUCCUUGGAAGCUCUACGAAAGUAGAGUGUGCUUUUAGAGCCAAGUGACAGGUGAUGCAUGGCCGUCGUCAGCUCGUGUCGUGAGAUGUUUGGUUUAAAGUCCCAUCAACGAGCGCAACCCCGUUGUAGUUAGUUGAAUUUUUACUAGCUAGACUGCCCUGGUAACAGGGAGGAAGGAGGGGUAUGAUGUCAGGUCAGUAUUUCCCUUACGUCUGGGGUCUACAAACACGCUACAAUGG